GUCCGUCUCUCCGGGUUACUCUCCAGGGAGCCGGGAGCCGCUUCAGGUUGCAAUCUGCGAUGCAACGGCGCCUUUGUUUGACUCCAGCCUUGUUUUGCCUCAUACCUUAUCCUCCUAUUUAGAGUACCUCAGCACCUCAUGGGCUCCGCUUCACCAGUUCCUCAAUCAGUCAAUGCCUCUGACUUCUAGCCGCCAUCCCUCCCAGUGGAUACUUUAAGCAGGCAAGCAAACCAAACAAACGCCCAGCACGCUUGCAUGCAGCAAUCUCCGUUUUCCGGUCUUUGGUCGCAUGACUUGACCUCAGCGUAUCCCCUACACUUGAUCUUCACACACAGCUUCAUAGGUUAAGACACUUUUUUUCCAGAGAAAUCAUACUUUCUAUCUGCGAUUGUGGAACUGCGAUUGCUCUAAGCCCUUGAAAACAGUUUCCUCACCAUGAAAGCUUGGGCCAAAAAUUAGAAGUGAAACCCAGCCCUCCCUCUGUCUUCUACUCUUGGCCUACCUUGGCCCUAUACUUUAUCAUCCAUAAACCAAAACAGUCGCCUGGCCUGACAAUGUUUGAUCGGGGAAGUUUGAGUUGGGGAAUUAACCUACAACCUGACAGAAUGAGGCCCGCCCGUCUCUAACAGAGUUCAAAACCUCCUGAAGAUGAAAGUAACUUCAAAACUAACUCAGACCAUUUUAACGGUUUUGCUUACAAUUACCAGAACUACAUUUCUUUGAAAAUUUGAUUUAGCAAUCGUAAACAAGCUGUACUGUUUGCUGACUAUAGCGUAUCUACUGGCAAGUUACCAGUAUUAAUGUGUUGUCCAUAACAAACCUCGGAUUAAUGUUAUUGUUAAUCUGUUUAAUUGAAGAGUUUAACUUCAUAUCUAACUUCAUCUACUAUGAAAUCAGUUACCUUCAGGAAGCAGGAUUCCUCCUACUCUCCACUCACAUGAAGGACCAGUGUCUGUUUUGGAGGCAUGGAGUUGGAAAUGAGUUGGAGAGAUGACGGUAACAGUAGCUUCUAAAUAUGAACCUGAUGCUUAUACAACCAUUAUACCAAAAGUAAAGGUAGCUGUUUAAUUCCUUUCUGUGGAGCAUGGAAG
rnacentral:lncRNA from 1 species